UUUGAUCCUGGCUCAGAUUGAACGCUGGCGGCAUGCCUUACACAUGCAAGUCGAACGGCAGCGCGGGAGCAAUCCUGGCGGCGAGUGGCGAACGGGUGAGUAAUACAUCGGAACGUGCCCAAUCGUGGGGGAUAACGCAGCGAAAGCUGUGCUAAUACCGCAUAAGAUCUACGGAUGAAAGCAGGGGAUCGCAAGACCUUGCGCGAAUGGAGCGGCCGAUGGCAGAUUAGGUAGUUGGUGAGGUAAAGGCUCACCAAGCCUUCGAUCUGUAGCUGGUCUGAGAGGACGACCAGCCACACUGGGACUGAGACACGGCCCAGACUCCUACGGGAGGCAGCAGUGGGGAAUUUUGGACAAUGGGCGCAAGCCUGAUCCAGCCAUGCCGCGUGCAGGAUGAAGGCCUUCGGGUUGUAAACUGCUUUUGUACGGAACGAAAAGUCUCUUUCUAAUAAAGAGGGAUCAUGACGGUACCGUAAGAAUAAGCACCGGCUAACUACGUGCCAGCAGCCGCGGUAAUACGUAGGGUGCAAGCGUUAAUCGGAAUUACUGGGCGUAAAGCGUGCGCAGGCGGUUAUGUAAGACAGUUGUGAAAUCCCCGGGCUCAACCUGGGAACUGCAUCUGUGACUGCAUAGCUAGAGUACGGUAGAGGGGGAUGGAAUUCCGCGUGUAGCAGUGAAAUGCGUAGAUAUGCGGAGGAACACCGAUGGCGAAGGCAAUCCCCUGGACCUGUACUGACGCUCAUGCACGAAAGCGUGGGGAGCAAACAGGAUUACAUACCCUGGUAGUCCACGCCCUAAACGAUGUCAACUGGUUGUUGGGUCUUCACUGACUCAGUAACGAAGCUAACGCGUGAAGUUGACCGCCUGGGGAGUACGGCCGCAAGGUUGAAACUCAAAGGAAUUGACGGGGACCCGCACAAGCGGUGGAUGAUGUGGUUUAAUUCGAUGCAACGCGAAAAACCUUACCCACCUUUGACAUGUACGGAAUUUGCCAGAGAUGGCUUAGUGCUCGAAAGAGAACCGUAACACAGGUGCUGCAUGGCUGUCGUCAGCUCGAGUCGUGAGAUUUUGGGUUAAGUCCCGCAACGAGCGCAACCCUUGUCAUUAGUUGCCACAUUUAGUUGGGCACUCUAGUGAGACUGCCGGUGACAAACCGGAGGAAGGUGGGGAUGACGUCAAGUCCUCAUGGCCCUUAUAGGUGGGGCUACACACGUCAUACAAUGGCUGGUACAAAGGGUUGCCAACCCGCGAGGGGGAGCUAAUCCCAUAAAACCAGUCGUAGUCCGGAUCGCAGUCUGCAACUCGACUGCGUGAAGUCGGAAUCGCUAGUAAUCGUGGAUCAGAAUGUCACGGUGAAUACGUUCCCGGGUCUUGUACACACCGCCCGUCACACCAUGGGAGCGGGUUCUGCCAGAAGUAGUUAGCUUAACCGCAAGGAGGGCGAUUACCACGGCAGGGUUCGUGACUGGGGUG
rnacentral:rRNA from 1 species